CUUGAACGCUGGCGGCAUGCCUUACACAUGCAAGUCGAACGGUAACGCGGGGCAACCUGGCGACGAGUGGCGAACGGGUGAGUAACGCAUCGGAACGUACCCAGUAGUGGGGGAUAGCCCGGCGAAAGCCGGAUUAAUACCGCAUACGACCUACGGGUGAAAGCGGGGGAUCGCAAGACCUCGCGCUAUUGGAGCGGCCGAUGUCAGACUAGGUAGUUGGUGGGGUAAAGGCCUACCAAGCCUACGAUCUGUAGCUGGUCUGAGAGGACGACCAGCCACACUGGGACUGAGACACGGCCCAGACUCCUACGGGAGGCAGCAGUGGGGAAUUUUGGACAAUGGGCGCAAGCCUGAUCCAGCCAUGCCGCGUGCGGGAAGAAGGCCUUCGGGUUGUAAACCGCUUUUGUCAGGGAAGAAGCGCUCUGGGCUAAUACCCCGGGGUAAUGACGGUACCUGAAGAAUAAGCACCGGCUAACUAUGUGCCAGCCGCCGCCGUAAUAC
rnacentral:rRNA from 1 species